rnacentral:rRNA from 1 species
GAUGAACGCUGGCGGCGUGCCUAAUACAUGCAAGUCGAGCGAACGGACGAGGAGCUUGCUUCUCUGACGUUAGCGGCGGACGGGUGAGUAACACGUGGAUAACCUACCUAUAAGACUGGGAUAACUUCGGGAAACCGUAGCUAAUACCGGAUAAUAUUUUGAACCGCAUGGUUCAAUAGUGAAAGACGGUCUUGCUGUCACUUAUAGAUGGAUCCGCGCUGCAUUAGCUAGUUGGUAAGGUAACGGCUUACCAAGGCAGCGAUGCGUAGCCGACCUGAGAGGGUGAUCGGCCACACUGGAACUGAGACACGGUCCAGACUCCUACGGGAGGCAGCAGUAGGGAAUCUUCCGCAAUGGGCGAAAGCCUGACGGAGCAACGCCGCGUGAGUGAUGAAGGUCUUCGGAUCGUAAAACUCUGUUAUUAGGGAAGAACAUAUGUGUAAGUAACUAUGCACGUCUUGACGGUACCUAAUCAGAAAGCCACGGCUAACUACGUG